CAUGCGCGGGUCACAAUUUGGCGCUUCUUCGCAUGUGCAAAGCACAAUUUAGUGCUUCUGCGCAUGCGCGCACACCGAAACCUGGAAGUAACCCGUUCCGGUACUUCUGGGUUUGGCAUGGAGCGCAACCUGAAAAAAACACAACCUGAAGCGGCUGUAACCCGAGGUAUGACUGUACUUGCUACAUGAUUGGUCACCUACUAGGGAGAAUAUGAAGUUUCUGCAGAUGCAGUAGAGAAGUCUUAAACUUCAGGUGAAAUGCCACUUUGUAAAAGCAUUUCACUUCACAAACCCCACAGUUUAGUCUGGCGAACUGUUAUGUGGGGCAAUGCGGAAGCUUUUUAGCAGAUCUGGAAUUUAGGAAUUUGUAGGCUCAACUAUCCUGUUCCUUGUCGCUCUAAGACUUGGGUCUGCAAAUAUCUAUUCAGGUAAAAUUUGUGCUUAAGGUUGCAACUUCUCCUUGGCAGAAGGGGGCCCUUUUAUGACAAAAGAAUAUUAGCCUUCUAUGAUUUUGCUUCUGAAUCGGCGCAAACUGGUGUUGAGAGGUAGCGAGAAGAGGAUGCUGCCAAAUUAUCAAUGUCUGCUGACAAUUAUGGAGUCAAUCUCUAGAGAUACACCAAUUCUAGAAGAUUCCAAGUAGUGUCUUGUUUGGGAGUAUUUUGUGCACUUUAUUAUUUGUCCAGGGGUAGCAUUUCCUGGUACACUUGAAGUUUCUAGUUCUAGAUUUUCCUGUCUUUCAGGCUUUAAUGUUGCUGCUGAUUGUUUAUUGAUAUAACGGGGCCUUUUAACCUCUUGCUUCCUGAGAUCUUGGAGAAAAACGUUGCCUGCUGUGUGCAGUAUAAUAAGGGAAAUGGCAUUUUCUUUCAGGUCACGUAAGUUAUAUUAUAGGACAAUUUGCAAGAUGAUCAUGGGAGCUGAAAGGAAAGGUUACAACAUUUGGCCAUUUUUAGGGCAAGUAAGGAGGCUGGGGGACAUGGUAAAGAUACAUAAAACUCUACCUGGUGUGGAGAAAGUGAAUAGAGAGACAUUUUCCUCCCUCGUACUGUUAGACCUGGGAUCAUCCAAUGAAGCUGAAGGUCACAGGUUUGGGGACAGAAAAAAAAGAAAUACUUUUUCAUGCAGUCCAUAGUUAUCUAUGUAACUCACUGUCACAAGAUGUAGUAAGGGGAUUAGACAAGUUCAUGGGGCCUAAGGUGAUCAUGGCUCCUUGUCAUGAUGGCUGUGCACUAUCUCCACUGCUGGGGCUUCAGGGAGAGUGCUGUUUGUGCCCAGAUUCUGCUUUGGAGCUUCUAGUUUUGGCUUCUCAUUAACCAUGGUGAGAACAAGAUGCUGGACUACAUAAGCCAUUGGCCUGAUCCACCAGGACUCUUCUUUUGUUCUGUCCAAUAUUGGGAACUCUGCGAUCAGAACCAAGGUAUGGAAAUGAAUUCCAGAUGAACUAGUCUAGAAUUUUUUUAAGCCGUGGAAGCUUUCUCCCUUUCCCCCCUUAAUUUACUGAGAUGUUCCUGAUGCCGCUUCUCGGGAUGGAUUCUGUUCGACUUCCGAGGUACGACUGUAGCUAGUACUGGGCUAGAUGGAUCGAUUGUCUCACGUACAGUAAGGGCAUGUCAUUUUAGGUGGUAAAACUUACUGCAUUUAUUGACAAUUACUGUAUCUUGACUAAUGGCGAGUGAAAAUUUCAUUAGUCCCUUUCUUCC